CAUUACUAGAGCAAAGGAUAGACAGCGCCCGCGGAGCUCGCUCCCGGGGCUACCCUACUCCCGUAGGGUUUAGAGUCGUCGGGCCUCUCGGAGAAGCUCGGUCCUGAACUCCACCCUUGAAUAAACUACCUUUGUUGCUUUGGCGGGCCGCCUCGUGCCAGCGGCUUCGGCUGUUGAGUGCCCGCCAGAGGACCCCAACUCUUGUUUUUAGUGAUGUCUGAGUACUAUAUAAUAGUUAAAACUUUCAACAACGGAUCUCUUGGUUCUGGCAUCGAUGAAGAACGCAGCGAAAUGCGAUAAGUAAUGUGAAUUGCAGAAUUCAGUGAAUCAUCGAAUCUUUGAACGCACAUUGCGCCCUCUGGUAUUCCGGGGGGCAUGCCUGUUCGAGCGUCAUUAUAACCACUCAAGCUCUCGCUUGGUAUUGGGGUUCGCGGUUUCGCGGCCCCUAAAAUCAGUGGCGGUGCCUGUCGGCUCUACGCGUAGUAAUACUCCUCGCGAUUGAGUCCGGUAGGUCUACUUGCCAGCAACCCCUAAUUUUUUUUAAGGUUGACCUCGGAUCAGGUAGGGAUACCCGCUGAACUUAAGCAUAUCAAUAAGCGGAGGAAAAGAAACCAACAGGGAUUACCUCAGUAACGGCGAGUGAAGCGGUAACAGCUCAAAUUUGAAAGCUGGCUCUUUUAGGGUCCGCGUUGUAAUUUGUAGAAGAUGCUUCGGGUGUGGCCCCGGUCUAAGUUCCU
rnacentral:rRNA from 1 species